rnacentral:rRNA from 1 species
ACCACUUGUUGCCUCGGCGGAUCAGCCCGCUCCCGGUAAAACGGGACGGCCCGCCAGAGGACCCCUAAACUCUGUUUCUAUAUGUAACUUCUGAGUAAAACCAUAAAUAAAUCAAAACUUUCAACAACGGAUCUCUUGGUUCUGGCAUCGAUGAAGAACGCAGCAAAAUGCGAUAAGUAAUGUGAAUUGCAGAAUUCAGUGAAUCAUCGAAUCUUUGAACGCACAUUGCGCCCGCCAGUAUUCUGGCGGGCAUGCCUGUUCGAGCGUCAUUUCAACCCUCAAGCACAGCUUGGUGUUGGGACUCGCGUUAAUUCGCGUUCCUCAAAUUGAUUGGCGGUCACGUCGAGCUUCCAUAGCGUAGUAGUAAAACCCUCGUUACUGGUAAUCGUCGCGGCCACGCCGUUAAACCCCAACUUCUGAAUGUUGACCUCGGAUCAGGUAGGAAUACCCGCUGAACUUAAGCAUAUCAAUAAGCGGAGGAA